rnacentral:rRNA from 1 species
UACGAAGGGGGCUAGCGUUGCUCGGAAUGACUGAGCGUAAAGGGCGCGUAGGCGGUUCGUACAGUCAGACGUGAAAUUCCCGGGCUCAACCUGGGGGCUGCGUUUGAUACGUGCGGGCUUGAGUACGGAAGAGGGUCGUGGAAUUCCCAGUGUAGGAGGUGAAAUUCGUAGAUAUUGGGAAGAACACCGGUGGCGAAGGCGGCGACCUGGUCCUUGACUGACGCUGAGGCGCGAAAGCGUGGGGAGCAAACAGG